CUUUGGUUCUAUUUUGUUGGUUUCUAGGACCGAAGUAAUGAUUAAUAGGGACAGUUGGGGGCAUUCGUAUUUAAUUGUCAGAGGUGAAAUUCUUGGAUUUAUGAAAGACGAACUACUGCGAAAGCAUUUGCCAAGGAUGUUUUCAUUAAUCAAGAACGAAAGUUAGGGGAUCGAAGACGAUCAGAUACCGUCGUAGUCUUAACCAUAAACUAUGCCGACUCAGGAUCAUCGAGGUGAAUUUAGCCACGGUGGCACUGUCCGAGAAAUCAAAGUUUUUGGGUUCUGGGGGGAGUAUGGUCGCAAGGCUGAAACUUAAAGGAAUUGACGGAAGGGCACCACCAGGAGUGGAGCCUGCGGCUUAAUUUGACUCAACACGGGGAAACUCACCAG
rnacentral:rRNA from 1 species